rnacentral:rRNA from 1 species
UACGGAAUGUGCAAACGUUAUUCGGAAUCACUGGGCUUAAAGAGUCCGUAGGCGGCUUGUUAGGUGAGGUGUGAAAUCCCCCGGCUCAACCGAGGAAUUGCGCUUCAAACCGGCAAGCUUGAGGAGGAUAGAGGUGGGCGGAACUGAUGGUGGAGCGGUGAAAUGCGUUGAUAUCAUCAGGAACACCGGAGGCGAAAGCGGUCCACUGGGUCCUUUCUGACGCUGAGGGACGAAAGCCAGGGGAGCGAACGGG